ACUGUAGCGUAUCGUAUGGGGACUGUAGCGUAUCGUAUGGGGACUGUACCGUAUCGUAUGGGGACUGUACCGUAUCGUAUGGGGACUGUACCGUAUCGUAUGGGGACUGCUGGUCUAUGUGAGUUACAUGAACACACCACUCUGGGACGAAACAGUGAAUAAUAGCAUCACGUUAAUACAUUGUGGUCAUUUAGCAGACACUUAUCCAGAGACUUAUAGUCAGUGCAUUUUACUAAGGUAGGUGAGUCAACCACACUAGAUAGGACUAGUCAUUGUGUGCAUAUCGUUGUCACACUGGUAAUACAUAUUGGAAUCAGGCUACUGCAUGGUCAGCUGAUGGUUAAGCUUUCUGAGUAUUUAUAUUUAAGACACAUAAACAGCAGACCAGGGCUGGCUUCAGGCCACUAGAGGGACCCUGACUCUUACAUGUUGUCGUCCCCCAGCCUCUCCGUGUGUGUCUCCUUCCUUCCAUUCUGGCAGAACAUUGUGGUGAUCGUGCUCUUUGCCAUCCUGUGGUUGAAGAGUGUGUCGUCAUGGGCCAGGGGUCUACAGAGUGUACCCUGGCACAGUGCCGAGGACAGGGCAUGGUCUCAACAUGUCUGUGAUCUGUGGUUCCCUGAACGUGGUUCUGUGGGUGGGCAACACCUGGGUCCCCGAUAAAGAGACCCCAUGGCACGACAUGGACAGACUGCCCUGCACCAGAGCCUAGGGAUUGAGCACAGGUCAUAUGGGGGGCCUUAUAUGAGCCCCCCUUCGCCAUCCACUGAUGCCCUCAUUAGCAACAGUGCCCGCAGAGGAGAGGUGGUAUGGAGCUCUUGCAGGGACAAACUUUUUUUUUUUUUUACUUCCUCUGUGUUUCUCUUGUCACAUUAACUUUUUGUUUUGUGUCUGUAAACAGUUAUUAUUCUAUUACUGUAUCUGUUUCCUUCAACCUUUAGCUUUUUAAUCACAAUGUUGCUUUCUGUCCGUCCACUGACAUGUAAUAUGCUUUGGUCAUUUAGAAUCUUUGGUCACUUGGAAUCUUUGGUCACUUGGAAUAUUCUUU
rnacentral:lncRNA from 13 species